rnacentral:rRNA from 1 species
UACGUAGGGGGCAAGCGUUAUCCGGAAUUACUGGGUGUAAAGGGUGCGUAGGCGGUAAUGUAAGUCAGAUGUGAAAGCCCGAAGCUCAACUUCGGGACUGCAUUUGAAACUGCAUAGCUAGAGUACAGGAGAGGUGAGUGGAAUUCCUCAUGUAGCGGUGAAAUGCGUAGAUAUUAGGAAGAACACCAAUGGCGGAGGCAACUCACUGGGCUUUAACUGACGCUGAGGCACGAAAGCGUGGGGAGCGAACAGG